rnacentral:rRNA from 1 species
GUUCAACGGGCCGCGGUAUCCUAACCGUGCGAAGGUAGCGUAAUCACUUGUUCUUUAAAUGUGGACUAGUAUGAACGGCUUCACGAAGGUUAUACUGUCUCCUUUUUUUAAUCAGUGAAACUAAUUUCCCCGUGAAGAAGCGGGGAUAAAGCUAUAAGACGAGAAGACCCUAUGGAGCUUAAAACGACACAGCACUUACCAAAAAUUUUUAAUGUUUCUAUAACACUAAUUCUUUAAAGUAAAAUGACUGCAAGUUUUCGGUUGGGGUGACCACGGAGUAUAUCAUAACCUCCAUGUUGAAAGAAUUUCUUUCUAAGCCAAGAAUAACCAAUCUAAGCAUUAAUAAAUUAACAUCUAUUGACCCAAUAAAUUUGAUCAACGAACCAAGUUACCCUAGGGAUAACAGCGCAAUCCACUUCAAGAGCUCCUAUCGACAAGUGGGUUUACGACCUCGAUGUUGGAUCAGGGUAUCCCAGUGGUGCAGCCGCUACUAAAGGUUCGUUUGUUCAACGAUUAAAACCCUACGUGAUCUGAGUUCAGACC